UGAUCCUGGCUCAGAACGUACGCUGGCGGCACGCCUAACACAUGCAAGUCGAACGAAGUAGCAAUACUUAGUGGCAGACGGGUGAGUAACAUGUAGGUAUCUGCCCUUUGGCCUGGAAUAACACGAGGAAACUUGUGCUAAUACCGGAUAAGUCUUUACGGAGAAAGCUUUAUGCACCAUUGGAUGAGCCUGCACUUGAUUAGUUUGUUGGUGGGGUAAUGGCCUACCAAGACUGUGAUCAAUAGCUGAUUUGAGAGGAUGAUCAGCCACAUUGGGACUGAGACACGGCCCAAACUCCUACGGGAGGCAGCAGUGGGGAAUCUUGCACAAUGGAGGAAACUCUGAUGCAGCGAUGCCGCGUGAGGGAAGAAGGCCUUUGGGUUGUAAAGCUCUUUCGUCGGGGAAGAAAAUGACUGUACCCGAAUAAGAAGGUCCGGCUAACUUCGUGCCAGCAGCCGCGGUAAUACGAAGGGACCUAGCGUAGUUCGGAAUUACUGGGCUUAAAGAGUUCGUAGGUGGUUGAAAAAGUUAGUGGUGAAAUCCCAGAGCUUAACUCUGGAACUGCCAUUAAAACUUUUCAGCUAGAGUAUGAUAGAGGAAAGCAGAAUUUCUAGUGUAGAGGUGAAAUUCGUAGAUAUUAGAAAGAAUACCAAUUGCGAAGGCAGCUUUCUGGAUCAUUACUGACACUGAGGAACGAAAGCAUGGGUAGCGAAGAGGAUUAGAUACCCUCGUAGU
rnacentral:rRNA from 1 species